CAUAUUUGCCUGUUGCUUUGUUUGAAGCAAGCAGUGAGAGAGAAAAUGUCGUUUUAUUUUGGUGUGGAAUAUACGUUUCCGUUUGUACUCGUUUGUGUCCAACGUCGCAACGAGACAAAUUUGUGUGAGAGGAAACACUAGUUUUCAUCCGUCGCGUCGAGCUGCGGAGGAAAAGAACCCCGAAGCGCUUCGUCGUGCUGCACAGGCAACAGACCAAGUCAGUUCAUCGGGCCUCGUUGGAAUUUUUAUCUGCUCCAGAAACGCAAGUGGACGCUCCGGACCGUUUCCUGCUUAUUGCGUGGACAGCAGGCGAGGAGACCAGAAGAAAACUGUGGAGGUGUGUCUUUCUUCAGCCUGGUGAGCGGUUGGCAAGGAAACCCCACAACCCCACCAAUCCCCUUCCUCUGUGCCAGGCUAAAGAGGCAGAUGGGUGAGCCGAGGCCCGGGAGACAUAUGGAGAGCAAGGUUGAAGGUCGAGAACAUCUUUUCACCGUGCCAUCAGGGAGCUGGAGCCAUCCAGACAGACUGUCACGAAGUUCCAACACUUGAGGUGUCCGUUUUUUAUACCUACUCUUCAUUUGAUUGACAAGAGCUUCAAACU